rnacentral:lncRNA from 1 species
UAGAAUCGAUUGUAUUGCAUGUCUACUAGGUUCGGAGCUAUAUAUCAUCCAAAAAAUUCAGAGUCAAGUCAUAGAAUAGAUUUUAAUUUUGUCGCAGCCUUUAAAGAUAUUACUGAGAGGCUAAAUGCCAUAGGUGGUUCAGUCUAGUAAUUGAAUGCGUGAGUAAAGACCUUAGAAGAAGAAAAAAUGAAUGGCAUGAAAAAACAUGUUAGGAAUGCCCCUCUCCUAGAUG